GCAGUUCGUGGGGUGGCGGCUAGGCAGUGCAGCUCCGUGACAGAUCGACAUCUCAUUUGUCUCCUACCCCGAGCCUCCACAUGCCCAAGAGGAAGAUUAGCACAGAUGGAGCGGUGAAGGCAGAGCCUACGAGCCUCUCCACGAGGCUGUCGGCCAAGCCCGCCCCUGCCAAGGUGGACGGGAAACCGAAAAAGGCUAUGGGAAAGGAUAAUGCAUCAGACAAAAAAGCACAGAUUAAAGGGAAGAGUGGAGCGAAGGGCAAACAGGCUGAAGUGGCUGACCAGCAAACUACAGAUCUGCCUGCAGAAAAUGGAGAGACGGAAAACCAGAGUCCAGCCUCUGGGGAAGAGAAAGAAGCGAAGUCCGAUUAAGCAUCCAUCACGUCUGUCAGUGGUCCCUGCCUCCCUUCUUGUAAAAUCCAGAGGAAUAUUUUUAUCAACUAUUUUGUAAAUGCAAGGUUUUUAGUAGCUCUAGAAACAUUUUUAAAAGGUGAGGGAAUCCCACCUCAUCCCAUUUGUUAAGUGUAAAUGUUUGUUUAAGAGGUUAAAUCAUUUGCUGGUUGUUUAUUUUUUGGUACA
rnacentral:lncRNA from 1 species